rnacentral:rRNA from 1 species
UACGUAGGGUACAAGCGUUGUCCGGAAUUAUUGGGCGUAAAGAGCUCGUAGGCGGUCCGUCGCGUCUGCUGUGGAAACGCAGGGCUCAACCCUGCGCGUGCAGUGGGUACGGGCGGACUGGAGUGCAGUAGGGGAGUCUGGAAUUCCUGGUGUAGCGGUGAAAUGCGCAGAUAUCAGGAGGAACACCGGUGGCGAAGGCGGGACUCUGGGCUGUUACUGACGCUGAGGAGCGAAAGCAUGGGGAGCGAACAGGAUUAGAUA